rnacentral:rRNA from 1 species
GAUCAUGGCUCAGAUUGAACGCUGGCGGCGUGCUUAACACAUGCAAGUCGUACGCGAAAGGGACUUCGGUCCCGAGUAAAGUGGCGCACGGGUGAGUAACACGUGGAUAAUCUGCCUCUAUGAUGGGGAUAACAGUUGGAAACGACUGCUAAUACCGAAUACGCUCAUAAUGAACUUUGUGAGGAAAGGUGGCCUCUGCUUGCAAGCUAUCGCAUAGAGAUGAGUCCGCG